rnacentral:rRNA from 1 species
CCUACGGGAGGCAGCAGUAGGGAAUUUUGCGCAAUGGGCGAAAGCCUGACGCAGCAACGCCGCGUGAUCGAGACGCCCUUCGGGGUGUAAAGAUCUGUCAGUGGGGACGAAACUUGACGGUACCCACAGAGGAAGCACCGUCUAACUCCGUGCCAGCAGCCGCGGUAAUACGGGGGGUGCAAGCGUUGUCCGGAGUCAUUGGGCGUAAAGAGUUCGUAGGCGGCACGUAAGGUCUGGUGUAAAAGGCAGAGGCUAAACUUCUGUACGGAAGUGGAUACUUGCGAGCUAGAAUGCGUUAGAGGUAAAGGGAAUUCCGGGUGUGGCGGUGAAAUGCUUAGAUAUCAGGAGGAACACCGGUGGCGAAGGCGUUUUCUGGGCCGGAAUUGACGCUGAGGAACGAAAGCCAGGGUAGCAAAUGGGAUUAGAUACCCCUGUAGUC